rnacentral:lncRNA from 1 species
GUUACUAGAGAAUUGGGAAAGGCUUAAAUAAGUAUCCUGCACAUGGUUAUCAAAUCAUUGUAAAGUCUUGGUAAGUGGUUAGCGGCUUUAGUAGGCUAGCCCAGUUACUGGGAAGGGACAGGGAAGGUAGUCUUAAUAGAUAUUAGGCAAUUACUUGGUAUUUUCCCCAUCAUGGUAUGAAUAAAAAGCAUCUUAAAAUAUUCGGACUACACAGAAAGCAGUGAGCCUAACCUUUCAUUUUUUAAGUUUCUUUUUUAAAUUUUUUUGAGAGAGAACAUGAGCAUGAGUUGGAGAGGGGCAGAGAGAGAGGGAGAGAGAAUCCCAAGCAAGCUCAAAGUCCAGUGUGGGGCUCGAACUCACGAACCCUGAGAUCAUGACCUGAACCAAAAUCAAGAGAUGCUUAACUGACUGAGCCACCCAGGUGCCCCCAACCUUUCAUUUUUUCAUCCUCUCAUUUUGUAUAUCUUGCCCAAGAUUAUAGCUAGUUAGUGUAGGAAAUGGAUUUGAAUUUAAGCCAGUACUGUGUCUUUUUACCCAGUGCUUCCUCUAGGUUCCAUCUAAGUGUAAGGAGGCCAUAUGAGAGAGAAAUGUCUUUAUUUCACACUGAAAUUUUUUCUUAAGUUUAUUUAUUUAUUUUGAGAGAGACAGAGACAUUGCAAGUCGGGGAGAGGCAGAAAGAGGGGGAGAGAGAGGAUCCCAAGCAGCCUGUAUUCUGCCAGCACAGAGCCCGACGCAGAGCUCAAACUCACAAAACUGUAGGAUCGUGACCUGAGCCAAAAUCAAGAGCCGGACAUUUAACCGACUGAGCUACCUUGGGUGCCCCUCACAUUGAAAGAUUUUUAUAAUAGCCUCUGAUAUUGUUCUUUCCCAAUGAAGGAAAUUUUCAUGGUGUAAAUUUUUUUUAUGCAGAAAAUCAUCUGGAAUGCUUGUUAAAAAUGCAGAUUUCUGGGCAGCCAGAAACCUUGCACUAGUCAAGAGCAACACUAAGACCCACCUGUCAUUUAUAUUGAGGCUUCCUGCCCGGUGGGUUCAUCAGCAAGCCAGAAUGAAUCACCAUUGCUGUGUGUGGAUCCUUGUGAGGCAGCUGGGAAGUCUUGGCUAA